UGGGGAAUAUUGGACAAUGGGCGAAAGCCUGAUCCAGCAAUGCCGCGUGAGUGAUGAAGGCCUUAGGGUUGUAAAGCUCUUUUACCCGGGAUGAUAAUGACAGUACCGGGAGAAUAAGCUCCGGCUAACUCCGUGCCAGCAGCCGCGGUAAUACGGAGGGAGCUAGCGUUAUUCGGAAUUACUGGGCGUAAAGCGCACGUAGGCGGCUUUGUAAGUUAGAGGUGAAAGCCUGGAGCUCAACUCCAGAAUUGCCUUUAAGACUGCAUCGCUUGAAUCCAGGAGAGGUGAGUGGAAUUCCGAGUGUAGAGGUGAAAUUCGUAGAUAUUCGGAAGAACACCAGUGGCGAAGGGCGGCUCACUGGACUGGUAUUGACGCUGAGGUGCGAAAGCGUGGGGAGCGAAACAGGAUUAGAUACCCUGGUAGUCCACGCCGUAAACGAUGAUAACUAGCUGUCGGGGCUCUUAGAGCUUCGGUGGCGCAGCUAACGCA
rnacentral:rRNA from 1 species